CCUACGGGAGGCAGCAGUCGAGAAUCAUUCACAAUGGGGGAAACCCUGAUGGUGCGACGCCGCGUGGGGGAAUGAAGGUCUUCGGAUUGUAAACCCCUGUCAUGUGGGAGCAAAUUAAAAAGAUAGUACCACAAGAGGAAGAGACGGCUAACUCUGUGCCAGCAGCCGCGGUAAUACAGAGGUCUCAAGCGUUGUUCGGAAUCACUGGGCGUAAAGCGUGCGUAGGCUGUUUCGUAAGUCGUGUGUGAAAGGCGCGGGCUCAACCCGCGGACGGCACAUGAUACUGCGAGACUAGAGUAAUGGAGGGGGAACCGGAAUUCUCGGUGUAGCAGUGAAAUGCGGAGAUAUCGAGAGGAACACUCGGGGCGAAGGCGGGUUCCUGGACAUUAACGGACGCUGGGGCACGAAGGCCAGGGGAGCGAAAGGGAUUAGAUACCCCUGUAGUC
rnacentral:rRNA from 1 species